GAGGGUAUAGCUCAAGUGGUAGAGCACAUGCUUAGCAUACACAGGGUCCUGGGUUCAAUCCCCAGUACCUCCU
rfam:Camelus ferus unplaced genomic scaffold scaffold56579, whole genome shotgun sequence.